ACAAGCAGCGGAGCGUGUGGUUUAAUUCGUUGCUACACGAAGAACUUACCUGGGUUUGACAUAUAGGUUGUAGGGAACUGAAAGGGACGACCUUCGGGAGCCUAUACAGGUGUUUGCAUGGCUGUCGUCAGCUCGUGUCGUGAGAUGUUCGGUUAAGUCCGCUAACGAGCGCAACCCUCGUCGUAUGUUAUAUGUGUCAUACGAGACUGCCGGUAAAAGCCGGAGGAAGGUGAGGAUGAUGUCAAGUCAGCAUGACCUUUAUAUCCAGGGCUACACACACGCUACAAUGGUCUGUACAAUGGGUAGCCAAGCCGCGAGGCGGAGCCAAUCCUGAAAGCAGGCCUCAGUUCAGAUUGCAGUCUGCAACUCGACUGCAUGAAGCCGGAGUUGCUAGUAACCGCAGGUCAGCAAUACUGCGGUGAAUACGUUCCCGGGUCUU
rnacentral:rRNA from 1 species